rnacentral:rRNA from 1 species
CCCACGACUACUCUUUCCCUCCCCUUCCGCCUCCGCCUUCGCCUUCCCUCCGACUUUUCGCUCGCCGAAAAACCAAUUCCAUGCUCCAGCAGCAGGCAACCUCCAAUUUUCCAUUAUAGUAUUGCUCCCGCUAGGGUUCCAGCCGCCUCCAUGGAAUCCGCGGCCGCCUGUAGAUCCUUCACCAGCCGCCUCUUUGGACCGCCUCUCCUCCCGCAGCCGGGAGUGCUUGGUCUCGGGCGCGUCUGGCCGCCUGCGCCGAGGGUUUGAGUUAUUGCAUGUGGUGGCACCAAGCAUGAGGCGACAACUGCAUUACUUGCAAGGAAGUUACAAAAUCUAUGGGUCAUCAUAAUCGUGACUUUCUCGCAAGUUGUGCAGUUGCUGUCUCAAGCUUGCUGACUCCGUUUGCCAGACCGCAAUGUGAAAUAGGAAAUUUAGUCAGGAAAUGCCUAAAUGAUCCAAUAAAUGGUUGAAUUGGGCCACUCAUGUCUUCUUAAAUAUGUUCAAGGAAAUUGGGAACGUAUUCUUAAUUUUGAGAACUUGUUUCCAGAUGUAAAACUUUAAUCGGAUAUCUCUACACUUAAAAGAGUACUAGUGGAUUAAGGAUACAAGAGUGCAUCCUAAGUUGCAAUGGUUGUAUCCACGGCAAGAACAAUUAUGUGUCUACGAGAACCUCCAAUUGAUGCACCAUGUGAAGUCAUGUUGACAUUUUUUUUUCUUCUCUUUGGUAAGGUUAUGGAAUAAAUUUUGUUUCCCCUAGUAUUGUGUGAGUGGUGUAUAUAUUCACUAAACAAGGUUCUUCCAUUCCUCUGUUCCCAUAUGCCGCUGCUGCACCAUCAUCCACUGCCAUGCUGAGGUGGUGGAGAUUAGCAGGCAGCAGGCUUUGUGGCGUUGAUGGGGAGGUGUCUUCGCGGUGCUGAUGUGGAGGUUGAGACCUGGUGGAAUCCAUGUUCUCAGGCGGAGGCUAAGUUGGCGAUUUGCCACUGCAGUUGUGAAUCAGCAUAAGAGAUGGCACACUUUCGGCGUAGGCGCUGAGGGCCUCGCUAGAUCCAGAUGGAUUAUAGGAGCCGCAAUCUCGCUCGCCACUCUGCGGGGGUUGUUAAGGUUGAUGGCAAGCCUCUUCAGAGUGAUGUAGUGGCUUUUUUUUUUGAAAAAGCUCUUAUUCAUUUGUAGUAAGUAAUACAUCGUUUGUGAGGAUUAAAGGCUCCUCAAACCAAUCGGAA